UUCACUCACGUUUUGACCGAAAAAUCUUUUCCCGUUUCUCCAAACGCAAUCGGCGUCUUCGCCACAAACCCUCACAGCUAAAACCCCCAAACCCUCGCCAAAUCCCUAAUCCAAAACCGAGAGAGAGAGAGAGAGAGAGAGAGAGAGAGAGAGAGAGAGAGAGAGAGAGAGAUGGAUUCAGAUCAGGGGAAGCUGUUCAUUGGAGGAAUUUCUUGGGAGACGACGGAGGAUAAGCUGAAGGAGUAUUUUGGGAAGUACGGGGAUGUUUUGCAGACUGUGGUGAUGAGAGACAAAGUCACUGGGAAACCCAGAGGUUUUGCGUUUGUGGCCUUCGCAGAUCCUUCGAUUGUCGAUAUGGUUCUUCAGGACAAGCACAUCAUAGAUGGUAGAACGGUUGAGGCUAAGAAGGCCUUAUCAAGGGAGGAACAGCAGACCUCUUCCAGAUCUGGAAAUCCUAACUCUGGUAGAAACAUAGGAUCUGGUGGAAAUAUCAGGACCAAAAAAAUUUUUGUUGGAGGGUUGCCUCCCACUCUGACUGAGGAAGGAUUUCGUCAAUAUUUUGAAUCGUAUGGCCAUGUUACAGAUGUAGUAGUUAUGUAUGACCAGAGCACUCAGCGGCCUCGGGGAUUUGGGUUCAUCUCCUUUGAUAGUGAAGAAGCAGUUGACAGGGUUUUACACAAAACAUUCCAUGAUUUGAAUGGAAAGCAAGUGGAAGUGAAGCGUGCACUUCCAAAAGAUGCAAAUCCUGGUGGGGGUGGCCGCUCCAUGGGUGGAGGUGGAGGUGGUGCUGGAGGUGGUGCAGGUACUGGAGGUGGGAGUUACCAGGGCUAUGGUGCCUCUGGCACCAACCAGGGUGGAUAUGAUGGUCGAAUGGAUUCUAAUAGGUACAUGCAGCCUCAGAAUGCUGGAGGUGGGUUUCCACCUUAUGGUUCUGCUGGCUACAGUGCCCCUGGCUAUGGAUAUGGUCCUGCUAACAAUGGAAUGGGCUAUGGUGGCUAUGGUGGCUAUGGUGGUGCUAAUCCUGGUUUUGGUGGCCCUGGUGGUGCAGCAUAUGGAACCCCAAAUGUUCCAAGUGCUGGUUACCCUAGUGGUGCAGCAGGUGCUCCUAGGAGUUCAUGGAGCUCGCAAGCUCCCUCUGGUUAUGGUGCUGCGGGAUAUGGUAAUGCUGCUUCUUGGGGUGGAAGUGCUGGUGGGGGUGCUGGCGGUGGUGGUCCUGGUUCUGGCCCUACAAGUCAAUCUCCUAGUGGAGCUGCUGGGUAUGGGAAUCAAGUUUAUGGAUAUGGUGGUUAUGGUGGAAGUGAUGGGUCUUAUACUAAUCCAGCUGGGUAUGGCACCGUUGGAGGGCGUUCUGGCAGCACCCCUAACAGCAAUGCUGCUGGCAAUGUUGGUGGGGGAGAGUUGCAAGGGGGUGGUGGCGGUUAUAUGGGAAGUGGUUAUGGUGAUGCCAAUGGGAAUUCAGGGUAUGGUAAUGCAGCAUGGAGAUCUGACCCGUCGCAGGCUUCUGGCAAUUAUGGUACUCCCCACACAAAUGGACCGCAUGGUGGGCAGGUUGGUUAUGGUGGUGGGUAUGGUGGUCCUCAAAGUCGACAAGCUCAGCAACAGUAAUUCUGGUGAUGGAAUUCUGAUGGGGCUUCCUCCUUUGUAUUAGGAUUGUGUUCUCGCUCAUGCAACCAUAAUAUAAUGGUUUCUCGUUUCAAGCAGCAGAGGGUGGUGGCUUCACUAGGGAUGAUGCCAGACACACUUUGGGACUGGAGGAGAGGUGCUCAAGUUCUAAAGUCACUCAUGCCUAAGCACGAGAGACGUAGUGCAGGUUGUGUUUAGCGUGGAAUGGAAUUUAAAGUGGGCUUGGUCCGGUUGACAUAAUGCAUAUGCCUGAAACAGGUGAUGCCCAAGCUGUGCCAGGCCAACAGCAUCAAAUUCCGGGGAUUCUUCACAUUUCAACUCCUGAAAAUUUCUGAUCUUCACUUGAUGGCUUCGGGUGGACAGAUGGAAUAUUUUUUUCUAAGCUAUAAACAGCCUGUGGUAUGUUGACUUGCAACAAUUAGCCAUGCCUUUCGUUUUUUCAAAUUUUCAUUACGAGCCUAUGCCAUCUUUUGGUACUUGAAAGGUAGAAUUUGAUGUUCUCAAUGGGAAAUCUUUCAUCUGUUUUGUUUAGAAUAUAGGGGAUACUUGGCAUUUAGAAACAUUCUUUCAUUAAUGAUGAAGGAAAAUGAGUUCAAUAUUUGAUGGAAAAUUAUUUAAUAGAAAGAAUAGUCUACAUUCUAGGAGAUUAACAAA